UUUUAUGAGAGUUUGAUCCUGGCUCAGGACGAACGCUGGCGGCGUGCCUAAUACAUGCAAGUCGAACGCUUCUUUUUCCACCGGAGCUUGCUCCACCGGAAAAAGAGGAGUGGCGAACGGGUGAGUAACACGUGGGUAACCUGCCCAUCAGAAGGGGAUAACACUUGGAAACAGGUGCUAAUACCGUAUAACAAUCGAAACCGCAUGGUUUUGAUUUGAAAGGCGCUUUCGGGUGUCGCUGAUGGAUGGACCCGCGGUGCAUUAGCUAGUUGGUGAGGUAACGGCUCACCAAGGCCACGAUGCAUAGCCGACCUGAGAGGGUGAUCGGCCACAUUGGGACUGAGACACGGCCCAAACUCCUACGGGAGGCAGCAGUAGGGAAUCUUCGGCAAUGGACGAAAGUCUGACCGAGCAACGCCGCGUGAGUGAAGAAGGUUUUCGGAUCGUAAAACUCUGUGGUUAG
rnacentral:rRNA from 1 species